GGGGAUGAUCGGUUUCGACGGUGACCUGUUCGUCGCAGGGAAGCGUGCCGAGAACGUAGGGUCCGCUCGUGGAUGCCCCCUACAAAAGAAUAAGUGCUAAAUCUAACCGCACUGAGUUCGCUCUCGCUGCCUGAGCUUCGCGCCAGGAUUAACCAGUGAGCAGCCGCUCCGUUCACUCC
rnacentral:tmRNA from 1 species